CCCGACCCCAUAUCUUUUUUCUCCUCUUUUACACCCAUUCCAUUAACAAUACAACAAAUUCAACAGCAAAAGCUGCGUACAACCAACAAUUUUCAACGCCAACAGCUAACAACUCCUGCUAAAUCACCAAAAUUCAAUCAAUAAAGAUCCAAAAAUCACGGGAAUCAUCUCUCUCCAUCUUAUCUCUGCAAAUUCUCAGACCUCGAGCCUCUAUUCUUGACUUUGAUUUUUAAAAAAAAUAAAAAAAUUAUAUAUAUAUUUUUUGGUCAAAAACUGAUCUGAAUCAGGGGUCGUAAAUUCGAAUCCGGAUUUUAGGGGAAGUUGAGAAAAGGGAGAAGAGAAGAUUUUGGAGGGAAAAAUUAAGGCGGGAGACACGUGCUUCUAAUCCUAGGUAACCCAAAAGAUUCUUGAAGAAACAUACUCAAAAACUCAAUUCUGAUAAAUUCGAAUUGAAAUUUCUGUGGUGGAAGUCCGUCAUCAACUCGUUCCCAUUCGUUGCCCGAAAAAAAGGUGAACAGAUCUUCCUUUUUUUUUUUCUUUUAGUUGAUUUUUCUUCAUCGUCUUCUCUCGUAAUGGUAACUGUUUCUACUGUUUGCUGUAGAAACUUAAGAUUUUCUUAUAUUUUUUGAUGAUUUGUUGGUUGUGCUGCUGUAAUUCGUGGACUGCAUCUCAAUAUAUUUUGUUAUUUGUGAUAUUCGGUUGCAUGUCGGAUUUGCGAAAUUGUUUAUUCUUUUCCUUGUUUGUUGGGAAUAAAAAUUCGCUUUGCAACUGUGGCUUCCUUCACUAGUAAGUAUAUUUUGUUAAAAAGGAAAUCUGCUUCAUUUGUUUCUCUGUAUUGCUUGGAAAAUAGUGGCUUGAAAGUUUUCUUAUUUUCCUUUUUCCAUAUUGGUUAUUAGUGUUUAUUAGAUUUACUUUGUCCCGGGUUUUGUUAGUUGAAAUAGAGUAAUGUCUCUCUAAAGUUGGCACGAUCAUAAUCAAUUUUGCUUCAUUUGAUCCAUCUUCUACGUAAGCUCUAAUUGAUGUCCCGUGUUUAUAUUCAAGAAGUACCCCAAAUAUGUUGCUUCAGUAAACAGAACAAGGAAUUAGUUUGGUUGGCUAAGCAAUAUUAGUGGUGUCAUAGGACUAUUUAAAAGAGCAAUAGUAGCUUCUCACUAGUUACACAGAAAAAUGAAAAAGAAAAAUCAACUAAGGAUACUGUUCAAGAGUGUUUCACAUUGUUCAAAUUGCCUCCUAUAUUAUUUUGGGUAUUUGUUUAUUUCAUUGGUUGACUUUCAAUGUUAAAGUUGGAUCAAGGCUUAUUUUCCUUACACGGUUCUAUAGCCAAAUUAGACAACAUUCUUCGUUUACUCAUUAUUAUUCCCGCUCCACCCUCUCUAUUCGUUAUUAGUAUUUAUGUCGUUUAAAAUGGGAUAUUGUCUUGAAAUUGCUACACCAUUUUACUUCAUACAAAUUGACUAGAUUUAAUAAAUGGAUAUGUAUGAAUAACAAAUUUUUACGUUGCUUUCUUGAUUAGUUAUAUCAGUACUAUUUGAAUAAAUUCUAAUCUUUAUAUUUUUUUUAUGCAUGUGAACCGACUUGAGUCUCAACGGGAUCCAUUGCCCUUGCAUUUCCUCGGGAUCAAAAACCAUCUUUAUUUGAGUCAAAAAAUUUCGUCAAAUCUGCAUAGGGACUGGUAUACAUUUGUAUACAGCAGAUAUACAAAAAUGCAACAGCAACAGGGCUGAUAUACAGAAAAUAUACACCAGAUAUACAUAAACACAGCAGCAACAGUACUAAUAUACAGUCAGUAUACAACUGAUAUACACUUCCGAUCAAGCCCAAAACUGGGCAGCUUCAUUAAUGGGCCAAUUGAGGGCCCAAUUUUAAUUCUUGCAUCAUUUUUGUAACUUGUAUUGUUUAUUUGUGCUAACCAACAUAUUAAAUUAACUAAUCUAGAUAAAUACCCUAA